rnacentral:rRNA from 1 species
UACGUAGGGUGCGAGCGUUAAUCGGAAUUACUGGGCGUAAAGUGUGCGCAGGCGGCCGCGCAAGUCGAGUGUGAAAGCCCCGAGCUUAACUUGGGAAUUGCGCUCGAAACUACGUGGCUGGAGUGUGGCAGAGGAAGGUGGAAUUCCAGGUGUAGCGGUGAAAUGCGUAGAGAUCUGGAGGAACACCGAUGGCGAAGGCAGCCUUCUGGGCCAACACUGACGCUCAUGCACGAAAGCAUGGGGAGCGAACAGG